UACGUAGGAGGCAAGCGUUGUCCGGAAUUACUGGGCGUAAAGCGCGUGUAGGUGGUGGGACAAGUCUGCUGUGAAAGCGCCUGGCUUAACCGGGCGAGGUCGGCGGAAACUGUUCGACUCGAGGACGGUAGAGGGGGGUGGAAUUCCCGGUGUAGUGGUGAAAUGCGUAGAGAUCGGGAGGAACACCUGUGGCGAAGGCGGCCCCUUGGGCCGGUCCUGACACUGAGACGCGAAGGCGUGGGGAGCGAACGGG
rnacentral:rRNA from 1 species